rnacentral:rRNA from 1 species
ACUGCCCGUACCGCAAACCGACACAGGUAGAUGAGGAGAGAAUCCUAAGGUGAGCGAGAGAACUCUCGUUAAGGAACUCGGCAAAAUGACCCCGUAACUUCGGGAGAAGGGGUGCUCUAUUAGGGUGCAAGCCCGAGAGAGCCGCAGUGAAUAGGCCCAGGCGACUGUUUAGCAAAAACACAGGUCUCUGCAAAACCGUAAGGUGACGUAUAGGGGCUGACGCCUGCCCGGUGCUGGAAGGUUAAGAGGAGUGCUUAGCUUCGGCGAAGGUACGAAUUGAAGCCCCAGUAAACGGCGGCCGUAACUAUAACGGUCCUAAGGUAGCGAAAUUCCUUGUCGGGUAAGUUCCGACCCGCACGAAAGGCGCAACGAUCUGGGCACUGUCUCAACGAGAGACUCGGUGAAAUUAUAGUACCUGUGAAGAUGCAGGUUACCCGCGACAGGACGGAAAGACCCCGUGGAGCUUUACUGCAACCUGAUAUGGAAUGUUUGUACCGCUUGUACAGGAUAGGUAGGAGCCGAAGAGACGUGUGCGCUAGCAUACGAGGAGGCAAUGGUGGGAUACUACCCUGGCUGUAUG